rnacentral:misc_RNA from 1 species
GAAUUGCGAUACGUAUCAUGACUUGCAGACGUGAAUCAUCAAUCUUUGAACGCACAUUGCGCCUUGAGGUAUUCCUCAAGGCAUGCCUGUUUGAGCGUCGGCUCCCUUCAAACCCCCGGGUUUGGUGUUGCCUUCCGAAAUAUCACAGUUGUCGCAAUACGUUACUUCAACUUUAUUCUUUCGCCCUCAAAUCAGGUAGGACUACCCGCUGAACUUAA